UUGCUGUCAUCAAACUUUAACCUUGUUCAUAACUUUUUCAGAUCUUGGUGUAUUGUCUUCAUACUUGGCCACAACAACCCAUCAAAUAGACCAGACUAAACUAAAUUAACUUGACCACCAUAUUAACAUUCAAGAAGUUCGGCCUACAUGUCAGAUUUAUGAAUGUGAACAGCAGGAUAUCGAUUUUAAGGAUGCUUUAGGGUCAAUGACAAUGAAAUCACGAGAGAUAAAGGCUAAAAUGUGAGACUGUCAAUCUGACUAACCUUGAAGUGAACAAAUGGAAAAAAUGUUUCUUUCAAUAGCAUGGGCUUUUAAGGAAGAGGAAACAGAGGCGCUUAUAUGAUAGAACAGUAAAAGCAGGAGUGAUAAGGAAAGAUACAUGUAGAUGUGUCUUCAUGUCGGAAACACUAAAGAAAUAGAAAUAUUGUGGUUUUAUAAAACUUAAAAGAAAUUGGAAUACCAGGAGACUGCCUGCCCUUUGCAAUGUUGGAUAAUGAGUUCUUAGAUGUGAUGUCGAAAGCCUCAUGAAUAUAGUACCAUGACUUAAUCUAAUUAGAAAAAGAAAUGACAUUGAGGAGAAAACUAGUCACCAGUCUUUCACCAAGAACUAGAGAUAACUUUCCAAUAUUUGAAAUAUCAUAAUAUGUAUAGAACUUUAUUGAGCCACCAGUUUUUCACCAGGAAAAUAAGAUCACUUAACUAUUUUUAGCUCACCUGUCACAAAGUGACAGGGUGAGCUUUUUUGAUGGCUUUUCGUCUGGCGUCCACUUUAAAUGACAUCUCCUCAUAAACCACUAAGCCAAUUUCAUCCAAACUUCACAGGAAUGUUUCUUUGGUGGUCACCUCUAAAUAUUGUUCAUAGAAUGCUGGUUGCCAAGGCAACCAAAAGAAAAAAAAUUAAAGUAUCUUCUUUUAAAGAACCCAAAGAGCUAGAGCUUAGACAAAGUAUCUUCUUUUAAAGGUAUGAAACAUCUUCUAGUGAGUGUCUACCAAGUUUGUUCAAAUAAAAGCCCUGGGGGUCAAAAUUGGCCCCGCCCCAGGGGGUCAUUGAAUUUCCAUAUAUGCAUAUAGUAAAAACUUAAAAAUCUUCUUUUAAAGAACCAAAAUAGCUAGAGUUUAGAUAUUAAGCAUGAAACAUGUUCUGGUAAGUGUGUACAAGGUUUGUUCAAAUAAAAGCCCUGGGGUCAAAACUGGCCCCGCCCCAGGGGUUUCAUUGUUUUUAACUAUUUGUGUGAUGGCGGCAUGGCCGAGUGGUUAACGCGUCGGACAAGUAAUCUAAGGAUUGCUGACCGCGUGGGUUCAAACCCUGUCAGGGGCAGCGGUUGUUUCCUUGAGCAAGAGACUUUACAUUCAUUACUGGUUGGUUC